CUAGCUGCUUCCCACCAGCCAAUCAGCGCACGAGGGCACGCCCCUUUCCCUAGCCGGCACGCCUGGAAGCCCAAUCAGAGGCCGGCUGCUGUCACGUCAGGCGACCUCUAUGCCCCGCCCCACGACUCAGCAGGGAGGGGCUGGACCCAAGGGGCGGAGCUGCUGGGAGGAGCAACGAAUCUUGUGGUCCAGGCUGCUGGGCCAUGCCGGAGGACAUGAUCCCUCGAGUUGCUUAUCCUUAUUGUGACUAUGAAGAUGCUGAAGAUGGCAGAGCAGAAGGAUAGAGAAAACCUAGUUCCUUGAUGCUGUGGAGCUGCUGACUUAUCACAAUCAGGAAACUUCCUACCUCAGACUUAUGUAAGGACAAUCUGUGAACCAGCAGCUGCAAAUCACCCAGGAGCUUUUUAGAAAGGCACGAUCUCAGGCCCACCACAGAGCCACUGAAUCAGAUUCUGCACUUUACAAGGUCCCUAAGAAAUGUCUGUACACAAUAGAAUCUGGGAAGCACUGAGCUAAAGUGAAAAUACAAAGGCAGCAAUGGGAUCUGUUAGUACCAUCUGAUGGAAGUCUGGUUACCGUUUGUUGUUAAAAUAGUUUAGUCUUAUCUGAUUGCUGGUGAGUUUGAGGUGCUCAGCUUGAGACUUUGGCACAUGGUGAAAAGAGUCUGUCCAUCAAGGAAGGGCACAGAUCCUGCACCAGCAGAGGUUCAGGCCAUCUCUUCCACUGCUAAGUCCUCUAGCCACAUGUCCUUUGAUGAACCUAACACCUUAACACAAGGUUAAGGGGAAUUAAUUGGAAAAGGCUCUGGAAUGGAA